ensembl:snRNA U6 U6 spliceosomal RNA
AUGCUCACUUCAGCAGCACAUAUACUAAAAUUGAAACAAUACAGAGAAGAUUAGCAUGGCCCCUGCACAAGGAUGACAUGCAAAUUCGUGAAGCGUACAAUAUUUUU